rnacentral:rRNA from 1 species
UACGGAGGGUGCAAGCGUUAUCCGGAUUCACUGGGUUUAAAGGGUGCGUAGGCGGGCAUUUAAGUCAGUGGUGAAAUACCUGAGCUUAACUUGGGAACUGCCAUUGAUACUAUUUGUCUUGAAUGUCGUGGAGGUUAGCGGAAUAUGUCAUGUAGCGGUGAAAUGCUUAGAUAUGACAUAGAACACCUAUUGCGAAGGCAGCUAACUAACGCGAAUAUUGACGCUGAGGCACGAAAGCGUGGGGAUCAAACAGG